rnacentral:tRNA from 1 species
UCUCUGUUAGUAUAUCGGUUAGUACACGCGCCUGUCAUCGCAAACGACCGCGCGAAAGCGGGGUUCGACUCCCCGACAGAGAG